rnacentral:rRNA from 1 species
GAUGAACGCUGGCGGCGUGCCUAAUACAUGCAAGUAGAACGCUGAAGGAAGGAGCUUGCUCUUUCCGGAUGAGUUGCGAACGGGUGAGUAACGCGUAGGUAACCUGCCUGGUAGCGGGGGAUAACUAUUGGAAACGAUAGCUAAUACCGCAUAACAGUAGAUGUUGCAUGAUAUCUACUUAAAAGGUGCAAUUGCACCACUACCAGAUGGACCUGCGUUGUAUUAGCUAGUUGGUGAGGUAACGGCUCACCAAGGCGACGAUACAUAGCCGACCUGAGAGGGUGAUCGGCCACACUGGGACUGAGACACGGCCCAGACUCCUACGGGAGGCAGCAGUAGGGAAUCUUCGGCAAUGGACGGAAGGCUGACCGAGCAACGCCGCGUGAGUGAAGAAGGUUUUCGGAUCGUAAAGCUCUGUUGUAAGAGAAGAACGAGUGUGAGAGUGGAAAGUUCACACUGUGACGGUAUCUGACCAGAAAGGGACGGCUAACUACGUG